CCAAUAAGCGCCCCGAUUGCAGCACAUUGGCGAUAAUCAUCGGCUUAAAUACAUUGAGCUCAAACUGACCAUUGCU
rnacentral:tRNA from 1 species